GGUUAAGCGACUAAGCGUACACGGUGGAUGCCCUGGCAGUCAGAGGCGAUGAAGGACGUGCUAAUCUGCGAAAAGCGUCGGUAAGGUGAUAUGAACCGUUAUAACCGGCGAUGUCCGAAUGGGGAAACCCAGUGUGAUUCGUCACACUAUCGUUAACUGAAUACAUAGGUUAACGAGGCGAACCGGGGGAACUGAAACAUCUAAGUACCCCGAGGAAAAGAAAUCAACCGAGAUUCCCCCAGUAGCGGCGAGCGAACGGGGAGCAGCCCAGAGUCUGAAUCAGCUUGUGUGUUAGUGGAACGGUCUGGAAAGUCCGACGGUACAGGGUGAUAGUCCCGUACACCAAAAUGCACAGGUUGUGAACUCGAAGAGUAGGGCGGGACACGUGGUAUCCUGUCUGAAUAUGGGGGGACCAUCCUCCAAGGCUAAAUACUCCUGACUGACCGAUAGUGAACCAGUACCGUGAGGGAAAGGCGAAAAGAACCCCGGCGAGGGGAGUGAAAAAGAACCUGAAACCGUGUACGUACAAGCAGUGGGAGCACCUUCGGGUGUGACUGCGUACCUUUUGUAUAAUGGGUCAGCGACUUAUAUUCUGUAGCAAGGUUAACCGUAUAGGGGAGCCGCAGGGAAACCGAGUCUUAACUGGGCGUUAAGUUGCAGGGUAUAGACCCGAAACCCGGUGAUCUAGCCAUGGGCAGGUUGAAGGUUGGGUAACACUAACUGGAGGACCGAACCGACUAAUGUUGAAAAAUUAGCGGAUGACUUGUGGCUGGGGGUGAAAGGCCAAUCAAACCGGGAGAUAGCUGGUUCUCCCCGAAAGCUAUUUAGGUAGCGCCUCGUGAACUCAUCUUCGGGGGUAGAGCACUGUUUCGGCUAGGGGGUCAUCCCGACUUACCAACCCGAUGCAAACUACGAAUACCGAAGAAUGUUAUCACGGGAGACACACGGCGGGUGCUAACGUCCGUCGUGAAGAGGGAAACAACCCAGACCGCCAGCUAAGGUCCCAAAGUCAUGGUUAAGUGGGAAACGAUGUGGGAAGGCACAGACAGCCAGGAUGUUGGCUUAGAAGCAGCCAUCAUUUAAAGAAAGCGUAAUAGCUCACUGGUCGAGUCGGCCUGCGCGGAAGAUGUAACGGGGCUAAACCAUGCACCGAAGCUGCGGCAGCGACACUAUGUGUUGUUGGGUAGGGGAGCGUUCUGUAAGCCUGCGAAGGUG
rnacentral:rRNA from 2 species